CACUGGGCAAGGCAUCUUUCCACUUGUACACCAUCCGCAGAACAAGGCAUAACCGGGAAAGUCAUGCAUGCAAUAUUGUAGCCAAACUUUCAUCAAGAAAUUUUUCUGCAGAUGUCGGUCGUAUGUCAACCUCGGGAAGUACCAAGAAUGGUGCAAAUCAUCCACCAACGGCUGCAUAAACACACUCAAAUUCUUCCCUGGAUAUUCAGGCCCCGGAAUUAUAAGCGACAGGAACAUGGUCUUGCAUUGCAUUAUGGCGCCGGGAGGGAGAUUCAGCGGAAUAACAAAUACGGGCCAACAGCUGUAUGGAUUAGACGACAUACCAUAUGGAUUGAACCCAUCACCUGUUAUAGCAAUUCUGACAUUCCCAGCCUCGGCUGCUUCCUCCGGGUACUCUAUAUCGAAUGACUUCCAUGCUUCACCUCCUGAUGGAUGUACAAUUUUUUUUGGAUUGUACCUUUUCUCUUCCUUGUGCCACUUCAUCAUUUUGGCAGACUCCUCGGUGAUGAAAAGGCACUGCAGUCUUUUUAUAAAAUCAAGAUACCGAAGAACCUUCACAGGGAUUUUUAGCUGCUGCUUCUGACCAUGCUUAUCGACCACCUCAAUAUAUCGAGAGGAACCGCACUUCCUACAGUACUUGUCAUCCGCAUACUCAUGCCUAAACAAAAGGCAAUUCUUUGGACAAACAUGUAUUUUCUCAUAGUCCAUCGAGAGCGCCUUCAUGAUUUUCUUCGUACCGUACAUGGUUUUCGGCAGUUCAUGGCCCUCAGGCAGGCUGUU
rnacentral:rRNA from 1 species